rnacentral:rRNA from 1 species
CUAGUACGGCGAGUGAGAGGGAAGAGCCCAAGAUUGAAAGCUGGCGCCUUCGGCGUCCGCAUUGUAAUCUCAAGAAGUGUUUUCCGCUUCGGACCAUGCCUAAGUCCCUUGGAAAAGGGCAUCAUAGAGGGUGAUAAUCCCGUACAUGGCAUGGAGCGCCCGAAGCUUUGUGAUACGCUUUCUAAGAGUCGAGUUGUUUGGGAAUGCAGCUCAAAAUGGGUGGUAAAUGCCAUCUAAGGCUAAAUAUUGGGGAGAGACCGAUAGCGAACAAGUACAGUGAUGGAAAGAUGAAAAGAACUUUGAAAAGAGAGUUAAACAGUACGUGAAAUUGCCAAAAGGGAAGGGUAGGAGGUCAGAGAUGCGUUCUAGGAUUCAGCCUUGCUUUUGCAUGGUGUUUUUUCUAGUUUGCAGGCCAACGUCGGUUUUGGGCACUGGAGAAGGGUGGAAGGAAUGUGGCACCUCUCGGGGUGUGUUAUAGCCUUCUACUGGAUACAGCGACCGAGACCGAGGACAGCAGCGUACUCGCAAGAGCGGGCCUUCGGGCACCUUUACGCUUAGGGCGUUGGCAUAAUGGCCCUCUACCACCCGUCUUGA